GGAGGAAGGUGGGGAUGACGUCAAAUCAUCAUGCCCCUUAUGUCUUGGGCUUCACGCAUGCUACAAUGGCCGGUACAAAGGGCUGCGAUACCGUAAGGUGGAGCGAAUCCCAAAAAGCCGGUCUCAGUUCGGAUUGGGGUCUGCAACUCGACCCCAUGAAGUCGGAGUCGCUAGUAAUCGCAGAUCAGCAACGCUGCGGUGAAUACGUUCCCGGGCCUUGUACACACCGCCCGUCACGUCAUGAAAGUUGGUAACACCCGAAGCCAGUGGCCCAAC
rnacentral:rRNA from 1 species